rnacentral:rRNA from 1 species
CGAACGGGUGAGUAACGCGUGAGUAACCUGCCUUACACAAGGGGAUAGCCUUUGGAAACGAAGAAUAAUACCCUAUAAAACCAUAAAAGCACAUGCUAGAAUGGUCAAAGUGAUAGCGGUGUAAGAUGGACUUGCGUCUGAUUAGCUAGUUGGUGAGAUAAAAGCUCACCAAGGCAACGAUCAGUAGCCGGCUUGAGAGAGUGUACGGCCACAUUGGGACUGAGACACGGCCCAG